rnacentral:rRNA from 1 species
UAGAGUUUGAUCCUGGCUCAGAUUGAACGCUGGCGGCAUGCUUUACACAUGCAAGUCGAACGGGGUGGAGGGCAACUUCCAUUCAGUGGCGAACGGGUGAGUAAUGCAUCGGAACGUGCCCCGUAGUGGGGGAUAACGCCGGGAAACCGGCGCUAAUACCGCAUAUGCUCUACGGAGGAAAGCGGGGGACCUGCAAGGGCCUCGCGCUAUGGGAGCGGCCGAUGUCCGAUUAGCUAGUUGGCGGGGUAAAGGCCCACCAAGGCGACGAUCGGUAGCUGGUCUGAGAGGAUGAUCAGCCACACUGGGACUGAGACACGGCCCAGACUCCUACGGGAGGCAGCAGUGGGGAAUUUUGGACAAUGGGGGCAACCCUGAUCCAGCAAUGCCGCGUGUGUGAAGAAGGCCUUCGGGUUGUAAAGCACUUUUGUCCGGAAAGAAAUCGCACUUACUAAUAUUAGGUGUGGAUGACGGUACCGGAAGAAUAAGGACCGGCUAACUACGUGCCAGCAGCCCCGGUCA